UUAACUUCAGCUCUCUGGUCCCGCCUCUCAACCGUCAAUCAACGUUUUAUAGUUAGUUUAGUUCAUUAUGCACCCCAUACCCAUCUUGUGCGCGGUAGGGGAAAGGGUUACAGAGGCACAUCUGGUUUACCACUGUGUCCUUGUCUGACACAGUGGUCUGUGGUCUGGCACGUCUGGGCCCAGCGUAUGGAGUAUGCUGCUGUGAAAGGUGAUUUUGUGCCUGCAUCGACCAGUCUCGGCUGCGCCCACCUCCUGAAUGUGCAAAUGUUCAGCAAGUGACAACCAAGUGAUAAAGGAGCGCUGACGACACAAAAACAUUCAAUGAAGAGCAUACAAGAUGGCACAUAGUUCAGCCAUGAAGAUGCUAGCCUCCUGAGGUAGGCGGCACAUGUACGUUUGGUUUGGAAAGACAACAGAGUAUCCGACACCGUCAGCAUACUUAAACCCAUCUGUUUAGAGAGCGACAGAAUGCAAGUGCUAAGAAAAAUGUUCAAGGAAAAGGCAUUUCAGAACAACAGAAGGGGUAGGAGCCUUUACCACAUGGGGCCAAAGCCUUGCUAAGCUUCACAAGUGGGACCCACCUAGGAGGUAGUGAUGGUUCAACCUACUGCACAUAACAAAAACAGGGAAUUACUCCAGGAAUAAGCCUUUAUGGCACAAGUGAUGUAGAAUAUGAUAAAACACAUUGAAAUGGGGUUGUUAGGAUACCAUUGUGAUGCCGCUAGAAAUGGGGUUCCUUGGAGACAACUGUUAUGCCCCGGCAACAUAAUUUUAAGUCCCCGAGAGUAUCAUGAAAUAUUCUGUACUCAGAUACCUUUCAAAAACUAUUUCAAAAAGAAACAAAAUAUCAUAAAUCUUUCUGGGAGUUCACAAAACAUCAAUCUAUGUAUAGCUUUGUUCCUAAAAUCAGUAGCUUUUUUUUUUUUUUUGUUAUUCUGCA